GGCCCGCUCAAGCGGUGGAGCAUGUGGUUUAAUUCGAUGCAACGCGAAGAACCUUACCUACUCUUGACAUCCAGAGAAUUUAGCAGAGAUGCUUUAGUGCCUUCGGGAACUCUGAGACAGGUGCUGCAUGGCUGUCGUCAGCUCGUGUUGUGAAAUGUUGGGUUAAGUCCCGCAACGAGCGCAACCCUUAUCCUUUGUUGCCAGCGAUUCGGUCGGGAACUCAAAGGAGACUGCCGGUGAUAAACCGGAGGAAGGUGGGGAUGACGUCAAGUCAUCAUGGCCCUUACGAGUAGGGCUACACACGUGCUACAAUGGCGUAUACAAAGAGAAGCGACCUCGCGAGAGCAAGCGGAACUCAUAAAGUACGUCGUAGUCCGGAUUGGAGUCUGCAACUCGACUCCAUGAAGUCGGAAUCGCUAGUAAUCGUAGAUCAGAAUGCUACGGUGAAUACGUUCCCGGGCCUUGUACACACCGCCCGUCACACCAUGGGAGUGGGUUGCAAAAGAAGUAGGUAGCUUAACCUUCGGGAGGGCGCUUACCACUUUGUGAUUCAUGACUGGG
rnacentral:rRNA from 1 species